GGAAGAUGAGUGCGGGCACCCCUGGGAGCAUCCCCCUGCUGGUUGCGGGGACCCCAUGGGGGCUGCGACCCCCCGAUUCACACUCGCUGCGAGUCCCAGGUGUUAUGAACAAAAGUGCCUUGCUGGUUCCCAUGGUAAUACUGGGACACUGCUGGCUUGAGCUAGGAGGGAAGGAGAAGGAUAGCUGCUGCUGGACCUCGGUAACAGACCUAGGCUCAUCCCCUUGCCAGGAGGAAAAGAUAGUAGGACGGUCUGCUGGUCAGGACUUCAGAUCCAGGCUGUACACCUCUUCACCUCUGGCUACCAGUGUGCCACGGAGGCUCCAGGGACAGACUCUGCAGCCUUCUCACCCUUUGGCUGCCGGGAAAGCUACAACAGCGGGAGUGAGCUCCGUGUUGAGCCCCCUGCCCAGCUGAUCUUUUUAAUAAAGAGCUGAACAUUAAUAAA